rnacentral:rRNA from 1 species
UGGGGAAUUUUGGACAAUGGGCGAAAGCCUGAUCCAGCAAUGCCGCGUGUGUGAAGAAGGCCUUCGGGUUGUAAAGCACUUUUGUCCGGAAAGAAAUCCUCUGGGUUAAUACCUCGGGGGGAUGACGGUACCGGAAGAAUAAGCACCGGCUAACUACGUGCCAGCAGCCGCGGUAAUACGUAGGGUGCAAGCGUUAAUCGGAAUUACUGGGCGUAAAGCGUGCGCAGGCGGUUUUGUAAGACGGAUGUGAAAUCCCCGGGCUUAACCUGGGAACUGCAUUCGUGACUGCAAGGCUAGAGUAUGGCAGAGGGGGGUAGAAUUCCACGUGUAGCAGUGAAAUGCGUAGAGAUGUGGAGGAAUACCGAUGGCGAAGGCAGCCCCCUGGGCCAAUACUGACGCUCAUGCACGAAAGCGUGGGGAGCAAACAGGAUUAGAUACCCCUGGUAGUCCACGCCCUAAACGAUGUCAACUAGUUGUUGGGGAUUCAUUUCCUUAGUAACGUAGCUAACGCGUGAAGUUGACCGCCU